UUAUCUUUGGAGUAUUUGAAUUUUUAUUUUUGUGAAAUUUGUCAGUUUCAGAAAGCUUGACCAGACAACAACUGCCUUCCAUAAACGUGACAACUGAUUAAAGGAUGGGAUUUGAGUUUAGUGGUGGACAAGGAUCUCAGAGGAAUGUCUGACUUUAUGUGUGAGAGCCAUUAUCAUCCAGUGCAAUGGUAAAAAAUCUUUGGGGUUGAAGUGUGCAAGAGCAUGAGUAUAGGCAUAGGCACAAGAUGUCUGCUUUAUAAAAAAAGUAAUUUGUAACAGUAUU